AACGAACGCUGGCGGCAUGCCUAACACAUGCAAGUCGAACGAAACCUUCGGGCUUAGUGGCGCACGGGUGCGUAACGCGUGGUAAUCUGCCCCUUGCUUCGGAAUAACAGUUAGAAAUGACUGCUAAUACCGGAUGAAGUCUUCGGACCAAAGAUUUAUCGGCCAGGGAUGAGCCCGCGUAGGAUUAGGUAGUUGGGGGGGUAAAGGCCUACCAAGCCGACGAUCCUUAGCUGGUCUGAGAGGAUGAUCAGCCACACUGGGACUGAGACACGGCCCAGAAUCCUAGGGGAGGCAGCAGUGGGGAAUAUUGGACAACGGACGCCAGUCUGAUCCAGCAAUGCCGCGUGAGUGAUGAAGGACUUAGGGUUGUAAAGCUCUUUUACCAGGGAUGAUAAUGACAGUACCUGGAGAAUAAGCACCGGCUAACUCCGUG
rnacentral:rRNA from 1 species